rnacentral:tRNA from 1 species
GUGGUGGUCAUUCAGUGAUAAAAUUCUUACCUUCCAUGUGGGAGCCCAGGGUUUGAUUCCCUGUCAGUACA